GGGUGAGUAACGCGUAAAGAACUUGCCUCACGGAUAGGGACAACAUUUGGAAACGAAUGCUAAUACCUGAUAUUAUGAUUUUAGGGCAUCCUAGGAUUAUGAAAGCUAUAUGCGCUGUGAGAGAGCUUUGCGUCCCAUUAGCUAGUUGGAGAGGUAACGGCUCACCAAGGCGAUGAUGGGUAGCCGGCCUGAGAGGGUGAUCGGCCACAAGGGGACUGAGACACGGCCCUUACUCCUACGGGAGGCAGCAGUGGGGAAUAUUGGACAAUGGACCAAGAGUCUGAUCCAGCAAUUCUGUGUGCACGAUGAAGUUUUUCGGAAUGUAAAGUGCUUUCAGUUGGGAAGAAAAAAAUGACGGUACCAACAGAAGAAGUGACGGCUAAAUACGUGCCAGCAGCCGCGGUAAUACGUAUGUCACAAGCGUUAUCCGGAUUUAUUGGGCGUAAAGCGCGUCUAGGUGGUUAUAUAAGUCUGAUGUGAGAAUGCAGGGCUCAACUCUGUAUUGCGUUGGAAACUGUGUAACUAGAGUACUGGAGAGGUAAGCGGAACUACAAGUGUAGAGGUGAAAUUCGUAGAUAUUUGUAGGAAUGCCGAUGGGGAAGCCAGCUUACUGGACAGAUACUGACGCUGAAACGCGAAAGCGUGGGUAGCAAACANGAUUAAAUACCCUGGUAGUCCACGCCGUAAACGAUGAUUACUA
rnacentral:rRNA from 1 species